GAUGAACGCUAGCUACAGGCUUAACACAUGCAAGUCGAGGGACCGGCGCACGGGUGAUUAACACGUAUCCAACCUACCCUUUACUCUGGGAUAGCCUUUCGGAAGAAAGUUUAAUACCCUAUGUAAAGGAUGGGGAUGCGUUCCAUUAGGUUGUUGGUGAGGUAACGGCUAACCAAGCCGUCGAUGGAUAGGGGUUCGGAGAGGAAGGUCCCCCACAUUGGAACUGAGACCCGGUCCAAACUGCGACGCGAGGCAGCAGAGAGGAACAUAGGUGAAUGAGCGUUAGCCUGAACCAGCCAAGUAGCGUGAAGGAUGAAGGCUUAUGGGUCGUAAACUUCUUUUAUGGAAGAAUAUGUAUUAUAUGAAUAAGGAUCGGCUAACUCCGUGCCAGCAGCCGCGGUAAUAC
rnacentral:rRNA from 1 species